UCAAAAAAAGUCUUACGACGCUAACUUUGGGAGUUAGAAUUUUGAUUAUUUCAAUUUUUGAA
rnacentral:tRNA from 1 species